rnacentral:rRNA from 1 species
GACGUAGGGCGCGAGCGUUGUCCGGAUUUAUUGGGCGUAAAGAGCUCGUAGGCGGCUCGUUGCGUCGGCUGUGAAAACCCGCAGCUCAACUGUGGGCUUGCAGCUGAUACGGGCAGGCUUGAGUUCGGUAGGGGAGACUGGAAUUCCUGGUGUAGCGGUGAAAUGCGCAGAUAUCAGGAGGAACACCGAUGGCGAAGGCAGGUCUCUGGGCCACUACUGACGCUGAGAAGCGAAAGCAUGGGGAGCGAACAGG